AUAGCGUAUAUUAAAGUUGUUGCAGUUAAAAAGCUCGUAGUUGAACUUCAGGCGGGGCUGGGCGGUCCGCUUAACGGCGAGUACUGUCUGGCUCUGUCUUACUUCCUGGUGAGCCGGCGUGGCCUUUAUUGGUUGCGUCGGGGAACCAGGACUUUUACCUUGAGAAAAUUAGAGUGUUCAAAGCAGGCCUUUGCCUGAAUACAUUAGCAUGGAAUAAUAGAAUAGGACGUGUGGUUCUAUUUUGUUGGUUUCUAGGAUCGCCGUAAUGAUUAAUAGGGAUAGUUGGGGGCAUUGGUAUUGAGCCGCUAGAGGUGAAAUUCUUGGAUUGGCUCAAGACCAACUAUUG
rnacentral:rRNA from 1 species